rnacentral:lncRNA from 1 species
ACUCGCCGAGGGGGAGGGGCUGGAAGAUGGCGGCGGACGCACACCCACCCGACCGCGACAGAGCUUAGGCCCCUAGCCCGCGCCGCCGCCCGCUGCUCGCAGCCACUGUGGGCAGCCCUGCUCUGUCCCGCGUUGCUGGUAGAGCCGCCCCGCGGAGGCGUGGGACCAGGGUGGCGUCCGCAUCCCCUGCCAGCGCGCCUUCGCCCGGGUCCGUCCAGGGAGCACCUGUGCACGGCCAUAUUGGAUUCUGUGCCCCAGUCACUGCCUCAGCGCGGCGGGAAAGGAGAGGAGUUCAACAAUUUUUAUGAAUUUCUAAUCCAACCUCAUCAUCCUAUGGGAAACAGAAGACCACCAAGAACAGCCAGCUGAGACAGAAUUUCACUGUGUUGCCCAAGCCAAUCUUAAACUCCUGGUCUCAAGCGAUCCUCCUGCCUUGGCCUCCCACUGUGCCUGGCCUAUGGACUCUGAAUUUUUUUAAAAGACUGGAAAAAACUUUUAUAAGAGAAUUGGAAAUUUGGACAGUAUCUUGGCAGUAACCUCCUCCAUAUAUUUCCUUGGCCCUCAGCUUACAUCUAGCAAAAUGACUCUACUGGUUCCAGGCUUCACAUGCAUACAACAUGGUGUUGGAGGAACAGAGAUGUUUUCUCUUCCUGGUGUUUUCCCAGACAUUUCUUAGCUGGCAUUUCAAACAAGGGUCCUGAAAUUCACCCUGGUUGGGUCGUGUUCUCCCCUUCCCAUUCCCCAUCCCCACCCUCAACCGAAAAAUGAUGUAAGCAGGGGAAAUUGAAUGUACCAAUGUUUGUUUUUAAACAAGCCACAGACCCCUCCCCAACUCCCCGACUGAAGCUUGAAGUGGGAUCAGCUUUCCCUAAAGUACUUGAGCUUAUGGUAAAGCAUAUAUGUUAUCCAAGUUAAAGUCUGGACGCUGUUAGUAAUGGGAAGGCAAGUAAUGAAUGUUAGCUAUGGAGCCAACAGACAGUGUCCACUCCAUUGUCUUUAAGGCCCAACUAAAGAUAACCUCUUUACCAAUGUCGGUUUAUUUAUUCAUUUAUUUAUUCAUUGAGAUGGAGUCUCACUCUCUCACCCAAGCUGGAGUGCAGUGGAAUGAUCUCAGCUGACUGCAAUUUCUGCCUCCCAGGUUCAAGCAAUCUCCUGCUUCAGCCUCCCAAGUAGCUGGGAUUACAGGCGCACACCACCAUGCCCGGCUAAUUUUUGUAUUUUUAGUAGAGAUAGGGUUUCACCAUGUUGGCCAAGCUGGUCUCGGACACCUGACCUCAAGUGAUCUGCCUGCCUCGGCCCCCAAAGGUGUGAGCCACUGCACCUGGCUACAAUGUCAGUUUCUAUAAAAACUGCCUUGACUUGUUUUGUUUGCUUGUUUUGUUUGUUUGUGUUUUAAUUUUUAUUAUUUUUUUUUAGAGACAGGGUCUCAAUCUGUUGUCUAGGCUUGAGUGCAGUGGUGCAAUCAUAGCUCACUGAAGUGUUGGACUCCCAGGCUCAAGCAGUCCUCCCACCUCAGCCUCCCAAGUAGCUGAGACUACAGGCAUGCACCACCCUGUCUGGCUAAUUUUUUAUUUUUAGUAGAGAUGAGGUCUCACUAUGUUGCCCAAGGUGGCCUCAAACUCCUGGCCUCAAGUACUCCUGUGGCCUUAGCCUCCCAAAGCUCUGGGAUUGCAGGUAUGAGCCGCCAUGCCUGGCCUACUGUAUAUUUUAUGCAUUUGAUAUAAGUCUUGCCUCCCUAAGUAUAUUACAAGUCCCUUGAAGUUAAAGACAUUAGAUUCCUACUCAGUGCUGAGCUGCAACAGAGAGCACUCAAUGAUGGAUAAAAUAGUUUUAGCAUGCAUUCAGCGAUAUAUAUUUAGAAAGUGGAACUAGGUGGUUGAAAAAAGUGUAUAGAUGGGUGGAAGGGAAUAUUACAGCUCUUAGAAUUGUCCUAAGGUGAGAGUAACAAAUUAAGCAAUGAGUCCCUGGGUUCACUCAAGCAACUUCACUCUCUAAAACAAGAGCCCACAGAAUCCCAUUUCUGCUUUCAGAAUGAGUUUGAGGCCAAUAUUAUUUCCAUUUUUUUUCUUUUUCUUUCUUUCUUUUUUUUUUUUUUUUUUUUGAGACGGAGUUUCACUCUUGUUGCCCAGGCUGUUUUGAUCUCGGCUCACUGCAACCUCUGCCCCUGGGUUCAAGCGAUUCUCCUGUCUCAACCUCCCAAGCUGGGAUUACAAGCAUGCGCUACCACACCUGGCUAAUUUUGUAUUUUUAAUAGAGACGGGGUUUCUCUGUGUUGGUCAGGCUGGUCUCAAACUCCCAACCUCAGGUGAUCUGCCCACCUUGGCCCAGCCUCCAAUAUGAUUUUCUAAUAGCUGUGUUUGAUGAUUAUAUUUAUUCCUCCAUCAGUAGCUUUUUUAGCCUUGAAAAUAUCUAUUUAAGUUUCUUAUUUCCUUUGGAUCUAUCAAAGUGUUUUUCCCCAAGUGGCACCUGGGAAAACAUAUUCUAUUCAUUUAUUUUAUAACUGUUCCCUUGACCUCUUUAUUGCUUCCCUAUUACAACCCAAGAUGCUCUUGUAAACCUGACUUAAUAUUGGCAGUCUUCAUCCCUUGCAAAUGGAAGUGAUGACAGACCCAAUACUUUGUGUAAAAAUAUUUUGCUAUUUCUAUACAAAAUAUUUUAUUAAUGGAAACCACAUGUUAUGUAUUUUACAUAUGUUAUGACUUGAAAUUUAUGUUAUGACUUGAAAUUGGGGAAUCUGAUAUGUCUCUAAUAAUAAAG